rnacentral:lncRNA from 1 species
AUUGUCGGGAUCUUAUGAGGGAAAUCCCAGAUGCAAUUGGGGGACUAUCCCGCUUGAGGAUUUUGGACUUCUCUAGAAUUGGUAUUUUUGGUUUGCCUGCCACAAUCGCUCAUCUCUCUCACCUAGAAGAGUUACGUGUCCAAGGUUGUUGGAAUCUACCGAGCCAAAUACCGGAUGCAAUCGGGGGACUAUCCCGCUUGAGGAUCUUGGACUUCUCUGGUACUUGUAUUUCUGGUUUGCCUGCCACGAUCACUCAUCUCUCUCACCUAGAAGAGUUACGUGUCCGAGAUUGUGGGGAUCUUAUGGGUAAAAUCCCAGAUGCAAUUGGUAGACUAUCCCACUUGAGGAUCUUGGACUUCUCUGGUACUUGUAUUUCUGGUUUGCCUGCCACGAUCACUCAACUCUCUCACUUGGAAGAGUUACAUGUCCACGGUUGUCGGAAUUUUACGAGCAAAAUCCCAAAUGCAAUUGACAGACUAUCCUGCUUGAGGAUCUUGGACUUCUCUGGUACUUGUAUUUUUGCCUGUCACGAUCACUAAUCUCUAUCACCUGGAAGAGUUACGUGUCCACGGUUGUGAGAAUUUUACGAGCGAAAUCCCAAAUGCAAUUGGCGGACUAUCCCGCUUGAGGAUCUUGGACUUCUCUGGUACUUGUAUUUCUAGUUUGCCAGCCACAAUCGUUCAUCUCUCUCACCUAGAAGAGUUAUAUGUCCAGGAUUGUUGGGAUCUUAUGUGGGAAAUCCCAGAUGCAAUUGGCGGACUAUCCCACUUAAGGAUCUUGGACUUCUCUAGAACUAGUAUUUCUGGUUUGCCUACCACAAUCGCUCAUCUCUCUCACCUAGAAGAGUUACGUGUCCAAGGUUGUUGGAAUCUAGUGAGCCAAAUACCAGAUGCAAUUGGGGGACUAUCCCACUUGAGGAUCUUGGACUUCUCUAGAACUCAUAUUUCUAGUUUGCCUACCACGAUCACUCAACUCUCGCACCUAGAAGAGUUACGUGUCCAAGAUUGUUGGAAGCUACCAAGCCAAAUAAUAAUUGCAAUCGGGAGACUAUUCCACUUGAGGAUCUUGGACUUCUCUGGUACUCGUAUUUCUAGUUUGCCGGCCACGAUCACUCAUCUCUCUCACCUAGAAGAGUUACGAGUCCACAGUUAUCAGUAUCUUAUAGGUAAAAUCCCAGAUGCAAUUGGCAGACUAUCUCGCUUGAGGAUCUUGGACUUCUCUGAAACUCGUAUUUUUGGUUUGCCUGCCACGAUCGCUCAUCUCUCUCACCUAGAAGAGUUACAUGUCCG